GCGAUCGUGGCGAAAUCAGGCAUACGCAGAGGGCUUAGGACCCUCCGGUGGAGACACCAUGUGGGUUCGAAUCCCACCGAUCGCA
rnacentral:tRNA from 1 species